rnacentral:lncRNA from 1 species
GGGUCUUCUUCAGUUUCAUAAAUGCAUAGAAAAUUAACAAGCUCAAAUUCCUUCUUUUCAUAUUCAUCUCUUUCAUUUUGAAUUGCAACUUUAUCCUGCCUAAAUUCCUCAACAAUGAACCACCCAUCAGGACAGCCUCAAAAUGAACUUCCUUGGUCCGCCGGAUUCUGAGAUUGUUGCUCUGACCUGAAAACUUGUAACCCUUUCUUCUUUCUUCAAUAUCAGUUGUGUCUUUUUAAUUAUAUGAAUUAGUUUAUCAAUUAAAUAUAUGGACAUUUCAGGUUGCAUUUCAUACUGGUGCCCAUGCAUCACCUUUGGCCAGAUUGCUGAGAUUGUUGAUAAAGGGUCGACUUGUAAGUUAUUAAUUUCUAAAUUGAAAUCUUAUCAUCUUAGGUUUGCAGACAUAUAUAUAUAUUUAAAGAGAUAUUAUGUAAUUAAUAAUAAUGUUGAAAAACACUGUUGGAUGGUGCAGCAUGUGGGGCAAGUGGGGCACUAUACACAUUAAUAAUGUUCAUCACCGGGUGUGGGUGCUUAUAUUCUUGCUGCUACCGAUCCAAACUGAGAAAGCAGUAUAACUUGAAAGGAGGCGAUUGUGGCGAUUGCAUGCGUCAUUUCUGCUGCGAGCCUUGUGCCUUGACACAAGAGUAUCGUGAGCUCCAGAACCGUGGAUUCGACAUGUCUAUCGGUAUGUCUACAUACCAAUAUUAUACCCCUUUUAAUUAUUCUUAAUAUAACUUCAAGUAUAUUAAUUGAGUAGCUGUAAACAAAUAUCUCCGAAUAAAUAUGUUGGUAAUGAUGAGAUAAAUUAUUGUUUGAGGUCAUUAAUUUUGUGGGGGUAUAUUUAUAUAUGCAGGUUGGCAUGCAAAUGUGGAGAAGAACCCAGGGCUGGCAAUGGCUCCAGCGGUAGAAAAAGGCAUGAGCAAAUAGAUGAUGAUGAUGAUGAGACCACUGCAUUAAUAUCAUCUUUACAUGUAACACUUAAUUCCUUGGCUUUCCAUAAUUGGUUGAUUGUACGGCUUGCCAAUUGAAUUUCAAGUUAUGUAUGUUUGUGAUUGUCAAAUAUAUUAAUAAAAAGUGUUACUAUUCAUGUUAGAUCUUCAUGAAUAAGAAUGAGAAUCGAAAAUAACUUGUAAUAUUGUGUGUGCAUGUUUGGUAUUUAGGUGAAAUACUUAGAAAGAGAGGUUGGAUUAAAUUAAUUUUUUAUUAUCAAAAUGGAUGAUUUUAAUUUUUAUAUUAAUAAAAAGAAUUAAAUAAAAUUAAUAUUUAUUGUUUUAGAAAAUGACAUCAAAUUAUUGUUUUUUAUAGUUCAAUCCAAAUAAAAUAUCUACAAAAUCAUUAAAAACUUUUAAAAUGUGACUUUGUUAAAUAGUAAAUAGCAUUUUUUUAAAAGGGUUCAUAUAUAUCGUGAUACCUAAAGUUGGCAACUUCUACUUAGUAUCUAAAUCGGUACAUAAACUUGAAAAUUGUAAGUCAACUUCGUAUUUUUAUAAGUAUGAUGAUGUUGGUGUAGUGUGAGGAAGAAGACUUGAAUGGGUUUGAUUAUUUUUAAUAAUACAGGAAUUUACAUAUUAUAAGUAAAUAGACACUCACAUUCUUUAUGUAUUAUAAGGAAGAAGACUAAGUCGAUCUACUUUGUAAUCUCAUCAAUCUUAAUUUUCUCAAUUGUUAAGGGAGUUCAAAUGAAAUACAAAAUUUUGGUAAAAAAAAGUAUCCAAUUUUGUGAAUAAAAAAUAUAUGGUAAAAAAGAUUUGGUAUCGAUACUUCGGCGCGGGUAUCAAUACUCGAUACAUUGCUUUUGGUUGGAAAGUAGUGUCUGGAACGGCCAUGGGAUGUGUUGUUUUCCAAACCGGUAAGGCGAAAAGGUUUGUGAAUUUGGUUGAAGACCAACAUGAGAAGAGGCGAAGAAGAAAACCAAAAUAUAGCAAUCGCAUCAAUGGAUGAAGAAGGAUCUAGUUGGUGCAAAUGAAGUUAAAGCAUUUGUGCUGUGUCUUCAUAAUUUCUUGUUUAGUAGUCUGUCAGAAAGUUUUUCCUAUGGUGAAAAGUUGCAUUGGUAUGUGUCUGUCUUUAUGAUUGUACCAAUUCCUCUGUAUUUCAUUGCAUUUCGUACUAUUUGUAAGGGUUUAGUUCGAGUGUAACAUCUUGUAUGGUGCAACUAUGUAUGUCUUCUUUCUUGAUUAUUGAAAUUAUAAUCAAAAUUAAUACAUGUUCUUUUUAUUAGCUUAAGGGCGUAAAAACACUUCAAAAUUUUCAAAAAAUAAAAUAAAAUUUUAAGUCCCUCUUUUUUUUACACUCAAUUGAAAUUUUUAAAAUGUAUCAAAAAUAUCUUUACAGUUCUUCAAAAAAAAAAACAAUUAAACCCCUAUUUUUUUUCCGCUCAAUUGGGUACUUGAACUUUCAUAAUGCAUCAAAAAUGCCUUAAAUUUUUUUCAAAAAAGCAAUUAAGCCCCUACUCUUAUUAAAAAUUAGAAAAAAAUCAUAAAAAUAAUAAAUUUUAGAAAAAAUUAUUAAAUUUUAAUAAAAAUUUAAAAUUUUAUUAAAAAUUAGAAUUUUUUUUUAGAAAAAUCGUCAAAAAAUAAAAAAUUAUAAAAUCCAUCAAAAAGUUUUAACAAUUAACUUUAACUAUUGAUCGUUAAAGUUAACGACCUCUAGUUUUUUCAAUUAAAGUCAUUAUGUGUCGCAACUCAACGUGACAUGUAGCGAAAAUAGAUAAAAAAGUAAAAAUCAAUAAAAGUUAUAGAAAAAUUAUAAAAUAUUUCUUUUGGUAGAAUAAUUUUUAUAAAUUUUUUUUACAAAAUUUAUAUUUCUUUACAUUUUGUAUAAUUUUCUUAUAACUUUAUAAAAUUUUAUAAAUUUUUAUAUUUCUAUAUAUUUUAAAAUUUUUUAAAAUUUUUAUAAAAUUUUACAAUUUUUAUAUAUUUUUAAUAAAUUUUUAAUAUUUGAUUUUUUAUUAAAAUUUAAUAAUAUUAUAGAUUUUAUUGAUUUUAAUUUUUUAUCUAAUUUUUAAUAAAAUUAGGGGGUUAAUUGCUUUUUUUUUAAGUUUGAGGGUCUUUUUGAUGCAUUUUGAAAGUUCAAGUACCCAAUUGACUGCAAAACAAAAAGAAAAAAAGUAGGGGCUUAAUUGCUUUUUUUGAAAAUGUUUGAGGGCUUUUUUGAUGUAUUUUGAAAGUUCAAGUACCCAAAUGAGUGCAUAAAAAGAACAGGGGUUUAGUUGCUAUUUUGAAAAAGUUUGAGGGCUUUUUGCACCUUUAAACCUCUUUUCUUUUUCUAAAUUUAAUUUAGAACCAACUUUGUGUAAAGACUUGGGAAAUUUAAUUAGCAAAAUUUCUUUCCAUGUAAAAAUUUCCCCUAUUUCUUGUUUGAAUUUAAAGCAAUACAAUAUUUUUCUAGCAAAUAAUAGAAAAUGACAGUCAAUUAAUUCCAGCAAUACAACAUUUCCAGUCUGGUGGAAAACAGCUAGGGACCAAAUUUUUAAAGUGUUGUUUACUACACACUUAGGGACCAUAUAUGUAUAUAUAUAUAUUCCAGUCUGGGUCUUUGUCGUGUUUUGUUGGUUGGCUAUGGCCUUCUUGUUGUUUCAUGGCCACUGCCCGUGAAUUAAGUCAUAUGUGGCCUUGUUUGCUAGACCUUAGUUGCUAAGUUAAAGGGAGUGAAUAGAGCACCAUAUUUCUUCUUCUGCGUGGAAAAUAAGUUGGCAUUAUGCCAAAUUCCACAUUCAUACAUAGAAAGGAAGCAAGGCCAAGUCAUUAUACUUUGUAAUCUCAUCAAUUCUAAUUAUUUCACUUCUUCAUUCUUUAGGGAGUUCAAGUGAAAUACAAAUUUUUCCACAUCCAAUCUCAUAAAUAAUCCGUCUUUGAACUUUCACAAAAAAAUAUUAAAUACCCAUUCACUUUAAUUCUACUAUUCUUAAAUCAUUCAAGUUUUGUGGAAAAUAUGCUUCUUGGAUAAAAUUAUUCAACACACAUGCCUUGAAUUUUAUGCAAUAAAAUAAAUCAAUAUAGGCCACACAUGCUUUGAAUAUUUAAGUAGUCCACAAUUUUGUUCGUUUGUGUGCAAAAUUCUACAUUGCUUGACAGCCAUACAUUCUAAGUAAAUAGACACCCACAUUGUUUACGUAUUAUGAAGAAGAAGACUAAGUCAGUCUACUUUGUAAUCUCAUCAAUCUUAAUUUUCUCAGUUAUUUAGGGAGUUCAAAUGAAAUACAAAAUUUUGGGAAAAAAAAUGUAUCCAAUUUUGUGAAUGAAAAAUAUAUGGUAAAAAGGAUUUGGUAUGGAUACUUCGGCUCGGGUAUCAAUACUCAGGGUAAGUUUAUCGAUACAUUGCUUUUGGUUGGAAAGUGGUGUUGAUAGGUGAUGACUAAAAUUUGAUAAAUUUGAAAAGUACAUGAAAUUUAACGAUUAUUGUUUGGUGAUGACUAAAAUUUUAAAAUUUGAAAAGUACAUGAACUAAAAAUGACCAAAUUAAAGUAUAAAGAUUAAGUCCACAACUUUUGCAAAGUACAAGGACUAAUAGCAGAAAUUAACCUAAAUUUCAUAUGGGUCAAUUACAAAAAUAAUCACUAAACUAUUCCUUUGGUUCUAUUCUAGUCACUCAACUAUAGAGGUGCUCAUGGGCUGAGCCAGGUCAAGCCUAAGUAUGAUAUUAAUGUAUUUUAUACUUGCUCAAGCUUGGCUCGGCCUGAAAUAUGAGCUUAAAAUUUUGCCUGAACUCAUCCAUAUUUGCAAAAGACUAACCCAAGCUCAUUUUAAGCAUGCCUAUAUAAUUUUUAAUUUUUUUUAAAUAUUUAUAUUAUAUUAUAUUAAUUAAUAAUUUAAACAUUUUUUAUUUAUUAAAAUUUUUUAUAGUCAUUUUAACAUUAUUUUAAUGUUUACAUUAUAGUAUUAUUAUAUAUUUAGUAUAAGUAUUUUUUUAAUAUGUUCUAAUUUAUAUAAUAUAAAGUAUUAUACACUUAAAAACGGGCCGGGCUGGGCUUGAGCUUUAGUUGUUACUCAACUAUUAAUUUUUUCGAUUUAGUUGUUAACCUUUUCAAAAGUAAAUAUUUUAGUCAGUCUCCUAUUAGUUGUUGUUAAAUGAGUGACGGAAAGCUAAUGUGAGCUUUUUUUAUUAGUCUAAUAACAAAUUUAGCCCUCCAAUGUUUACACAUUCUAUCAAUUUGAUCGUAAAUAUAAAAAAAAAAUCAACAAAUUUAGCCCUGAAUAUUAACAAAACUUGUCAUUUUAGUUCAAAUUCUAAAAAAUUUAAUAAAUUUAACCUUUAAUAUUUUCAAAAAAAUAGCAAUUUAGUUCUAAUUCUAAAAAUUUUAAUAUAUAUAUUUAAAAAAAUAUUUCUAAUCCUCUGUCUCACCCUUUGAUUUUUUAGAUGAGCUAAAAUCAAAAUAUAUCAUUAUGUCUUUUUGUUUUAAUGCUAAAAGAGAUAAAAAAAAAUGGAAAGCUAAAAUGGCUUUUCGUUUGUGAAGUUAAAAAAUGCCAAAUAAAUUAUUAUGUCUUUUUAGUUUUAAUUUUUUACUUGAUUAAAAGAGAAAUAAUUAACGAAUGAAAAAUAAUUAUUCACAAAUAAAUUUAUCAGAAUUUAUAACAAAUGAGAUUUUAAAUUUGAAUUUAUAAAUCAAAAUUUAUAUAUAUAUAUAUAUAUAUAUAUAUAUAAAAGAAAACACAUUUUUAUGAAAUAUAAGAUUUUGUUAAAAGAAAGAGCAUAUAAAAGCAUACACGUUUUUAUGAAAUACAAGAUUUUGCUAAAAGAAAAAGCAUCCAAUUUUAAGAAUGAAAAAUAUGUGGUAAAAGCAUCCAUAACUUUUCAAUGUAAAAGAAAAAAAAACUGUAACACCAAUGUUGUGGUAUUAUUUGUUGCCUAUAAAUACCAUUCCUAUCCUUCAUCUUCCUCUACCAACAUAACAUGGCCUCCUCCUAUCUCUUUCUCUUUCUCUGCCUAUUCCUCUUCUUUCCCCAUCUUUAUGCUUCUUUUUCUUCUUCAGGAUCUCACUCCUGCUCUUCACUAAUCCAGUUUAAGGACUCUUUUUCCAUAACAGAGGAUGCUUCUUCUGAUUGCAAUGAGAUUGCUGGCCAUAAAUUUUAUCCCAAGACCAAUUCAUGGAAGGAGGGUACAGAUUGCUGCUCAUGGGAUGGGGUCACUUGCGACCACCUAAAUGCUCAUGUUAUUGCCCUUGACUUGAGCUGCAGUUGGCUAUAUGGCAACUUCCCUUCCAAUUCCACUCUCUUCCUUCUUCCUCACCUUCAAAAACUCAACCUUGCCUACAAUUAUUUUAAUCUUUCCAAAAUUCCAUCCGAGUUCGGUCGGUUUACAAGCCUAUUCUACCUCAACCUUUCUUAUACAUGGUUUGCAGGAGAAGUCCCAUCCCAAGUCUCCCACCUGUCAAAAUUGGUUUCACUUGAUCUCUCCUUUUGGAUUGAUAACUAUGAGCAACUUACAAUUGACAAACAUGCUCUGGAGGGACUUGUUCACAACCUAACCGAGGUCAGACAUCUGUUUUUGGAUGGAAUCAACAUGACUUCUGUUAAUGCUCAUGUCUUCAUGAAUCUAUCCUCUUCUCUAAGAUCUCUCAGUCUUGCUGGUUGUGAUUUGCAAGGAAAAUUCCCAAAAAACAUUUUUGAUUUGCCAAACCUCAAUCUCCUCAACUUGGGAGGCAACCAAUUGAGUGGACAAAUUCCAAGAUCAUUGGGGAACCUCUUGCAACUCACUGUUUUAGACUUGUGGGGGAACAAAUUGAGUGGACAAAUUCCAUUGUCAAUUCUAAACCUAACGCAGUUGGAAUACUUGGUAAUAUCUGAAAAUUCUUUAGAAGGUUCUAUUCCAGAUGAGGUAACCGCUGUUCCGAAUCUAAUAUAUUUAGUCUUAUAUGACAAUUUACUCAAUGGAACACUUCCGUCAUGGUUGUAUACUGCUCCCUCCUUAAAGGGUAUAAUUCUCUCUCAAAAUCAAUUCAGUGGGCAUAUCAAAGAAUUCCAAACCAAAUCACUAGAAUAUUUAGAUCUAGAAAAUAAUAAACUCCAAGGUCCCCUUCCAUCUUCAAUAUUCCAACUUCUCAAUCUUACCGGGCUCCUUUUAUCCUCAAAUAAUCUUAGUGGUGUCAUAGAGUUUCGCAUGUUCUCAAACCUUCCAAAUCUCAAAUAUCUUUACCUUUCAUAUAACAACCUAUCCUUAACAUCUAAUUCUACUUCUACUGUUAAUCAUAUAUUGCCUAAUCUUACAGACGUACUUUUGUCAUCUUGCAAUCUUAGUGAAUUCCCCCAGUUUUUAAAAGGGCUUAAAAGUUUGGAAAGCUUAGACCUCUCUUGCAACAAAAUUGAAGGCAAGAUUCCACAGUGGAUGCAAGAGGUGGGGAAUGUCUCUUUGACUUACUUCAACGUAUCUCACAACUCUUUGACAGAAGUUGAGCACUUUCCAUGGAAGAAUAUUGAAAGGCUUGACUUAAGCUCCAAUUUGAUCAGUGGAAAUCUUCCGAUUCCAGCUUCGACCAUCAGUGUCUUUUUUAUCUCAAAUAAUAGUUUCAAUGGAGAGGUCUCUUCUUUAAUAUGCAAUGCCAGUUCUCUUCGAAUUCUUGAUUUGUCCCACAAUAACUUGAGUGGACCAAUUCCGCAAUGUUUUGGAAAUUUGAGUGACAGCCUUGAAAUCUUGAAUCUGAAGAAGAACAAGUUCUAUGGGACGAUUCCUCCAAAAUUUGCAAAGGGAUGCCGAUUGACUAAUUUCAACUUAAAUGGAAAUCUGUUAGAAGGGCCAUUGACUCCAUCCAUCCUUAAUUGUAGGGGUCUGGAAGUGCUAGAUCUUGGUAACAACAAGAUCAAUGAUACAUUUCCUCAUUGGUUGGGAAGUCUUCCACAGCUACAAGUUCUUGUAUUGAAGUCAAAUCAUAUGCAUGGUUCCUUAUGUGUCAAUAGCUCUAAGUCUAGCCCUUUUUUCUCUAAAAUCCAAAUUUUUGACCUCUCAAGUAACUAUUUUUCUGGACCCCUACCAGUGAGAUACAUCAACAGCUUCAAGGCUAUCAUAAAUGUAGAGAAGAUUGGUAGUACAGUGUCGUACAUGGGGGUGAAUGAUGAUGGAGGUGACUUCUAUACCUAUUCCAUUGGAAUUGUCAUGAAAGGGAGAGAUAUGGAAUUGGUGAAAAUUUUCACCAUGUGGAUGAUCAUUGAUCUAUCAAACAAUCAGUUUGAAGGGGGUAUUCCAGAGGUUUUUGGGAAGCUUAACUUACUGAAAGGGCUCAACCUUUCUCAUAAUAACCUUAAUGGUGGUAUCCCCACCUUAAUAGGGAAUUUGACAAGUCUUGAAUGGUUGGACCUAUCUUCAAACAGGUUGUCUGGGACGAUUCCAAAUAGAUUGGCAGAUCUGCCAUUUCUUUCGUCCUUCAAUGUUUCUGAAAAUCAACUCCAUGGUCAGAUUCCUCAAGGCAAACAGUUCAACACAUUUGGAAAUGAUUCAUAUGAAGGAAACAAGGCAUUAUGUGGAUUUCCGGUCUCAAAAGGUUGCAACAUCAUUGAGCCAGCACCUCCAAAUGUGCUUGAAAAAGAUGGCUCAAAAUCAAACAUUACUUUUGGUUGGAAAGUGGUGUUGAUAGGUUAUGGAUGCGGAGUGGUGUUCGGAAUGUCCGUGGGAUAUGUUGUUUUCCAAACUGGUAAGCCGAAAUGGUUGGUGAAUUUGGUUGAAAUCCAACAUGAGAAGAAGCGAAGAAGAAAGUCAAAGGAUGGCAGUCGCAGCAAUGGACGAAGAAGAAUCUAGUUAGUGGAAAUGAUGUUCAAGUGUUGAUGUUGUAUCUUCAUAAUUUCUUGUUUUGAAGUCUGUCAAAUUUUUUUCCUAUCGUGAAAGGCUGCAUUGCCAUGCAUCUGUCUUUUUUAUUGUAACCAUUCAUCUAUAUUUCAUUGCAUUACGUAGUAUUUGUAAGGGUUUGUUUUAAAUGUAACAUUUUGUAUGGUUCAACUAUUUAUGUCUCUUUCAUGAGUUUCAUUUUUGAGUCUCAAUAAUCUCUGCAUUCAAGAUUUUGUCAGCUUAUUAAUUGGUGGAUCAAUAAUCUUCAUGCUCAUCUCAUCAUCUUUUUCUCGAGUUAAACACAGUCACUACUAUAAUAAUUUCUUCUGUGUGGAAAAUAAUUUGGCAUUCUGCAAAUUUCCACAAUGCUUGUGGAUUACCUCUGGUUGACGGCUAUACAUAUAAAGGAAGGAAACAAGACUAUGUCAAAAUUUCCAAAAAUCAGUCAUUCAUUUUUGAACAAUUAAACAUUCCUAUUCUAUUUUUCAAAAUUGUAAAUCCUCAAAUAAUGUAAAUUAGUCCUAAAACUCAAGUUUUGAAAUCUUUACAAUUUAACCCCUUAUAGUUUCAAACUUUACUAUUUUAUGCUCAACUUUCUAAAUCUUCAUAUUUCAUGAUCAUAUAAUUUAGUUAUUACAUCAAUAUUUCAGAUUUCACUACUCAAACCCUUACUUCAUUUUGGUCCUUACUUCAAUUUUUUCAAAUUAAAUCAAUUUUCAAUUUGACUGCAUUGAUGUGAAAUUGAGGGAGCACUAAACAAUGUUGAUGCGAGUUUAGGUAAAAUUGGUGGAUCCCAUCUCCUUAGUAAUUUCUUUAUGGAAGUAGCUGCUUUCACACUGCAAACUUGAAUAGUUUGUGGUGGACGAUGAUGAAUCAUUUGACAAUCAAACACAUAAUUUUUAAACACAAAAUUAACGAUAUUUUGAAAUCAUUAUUGAAAUUAUAAUCAAAAUUAAUACAUGUUCUUUUUAUUAGCUUAAGGUCGUAAAAACCCUUCAAAAUUUUCAAAAAAAAAAAAAAUUUAAGUCCCUCUUUUUUUUUUUCUAAUUUUUAAUAAAAGUAGGGGCUUAAUUGCUUUUUUUUUUUUAAGUUUGAGGGUCUUUUUGAUGCAUUUUGAAAGUUCAAGUACCCAAUUGAGUGCAAGAAGAAAGUAGGGGCUUAAUUGCUUUUUUUUAUGUAUUUUGAACGUUCAUGUACCCAAAUGAGUGCAUAAAAAAAACAGGGGUUUAGUUGCUAUUUUUGAAAAGGGUUUGAGGGCUUUUUGCACCCUUAAACCUCUUUUCUUUUUCUAAAUUUAAUUUAGAACCAACUUUGAGUAAAGACUUGGGAAAUUUAAUUAGCAAAAUUUCUUUCCAUGUAAAUAUUUCCCCUAUUUCUUGUUGGAAUUUAAAGCAAUACAAUAUUUUUGUAGCUAGUAACAGAAAACGACAGUCAAUUAAUUCCAAGCAAUACAAAAUAUCCAGUCUGGUGGAAAAUUUGUUUGUUAGAUUCUAUUAUUCAACUUUUAAGGCAUAAGUCUGAAUAUAGGGACUAAAUUUUUAAAGUGUUGUUUAUUUUAAAAUCUAUUAAUAUAUACACACUUAGGGACCAUAUAUAUAUAUAUCAUAUAUAUAUAUAUAUAUUCCAUUCUGGAUCUUUGUCGUGUUUUGUUGGUUGGCUCUGGCCUUGUUGUUGUUUCCACUGCCUGUGGUCUCUGUUUCUAAGUCAUAUGUGGCCUUGUUUGCUAGACCUUAGUUGCUCUUCACAUGUCUUGUAUUUUGUCAAGUUAAUUGAAAUGGAAAAUAAAAGUGUUGGCAUUACAGAUUAGAGUAAAAGGAAUUAGUGUUGAAGUUGGGGUUGUUCAAUUGUUGGAAUUCAUGUGUGUAUUUUUUUGAGUAUCUGGGUCUUUGUCGUGUUUUCUUGGUUGGCUAUGGCGGCCUUCUUGUUGUUCCCACUGUCUGUGGUAUUUGUUUCUAAGUCAUAUGUGGCCUUGUAUGCUAGACCUUAGUUGCUAAGUUAAAGGGAGUGAAUAGAGCACCAUAUUUCUUCUUCUGCGUGGAAAAUAAGUUGGCAUUAUGCCAAUUUCCACAUUCAUACAUAUAAAGGAAGCAAGAGCAAGUCAAUAUACUUUGUAAUCUCAUCAAUUCUUCUUCUUUCUUUAGGGAGUUCAAAUGAAAUACAAAUUUUUGGUAAAUCAACUCUUCAUUUUUAUGAAUAAAAAUUAUAUGGUAGAAAGGAAGUGGUGUUAAUAAUAAUAAUAAUAAUAAAAAGAUUAACAAUAGAACACUAAUAAAGCAAUUUAGUCUAUGAUCUGCACAAUAUAUUACUACAAAUGUACCGUACAGAAUAUUGAAAGAAAACUAAUAAAGAAGUUCGAAAUUUAAACAAUGUUCCGCAAAUUAUGUUUAUGAUCUGCUGUAAAUUGAUAUGUUAAAUCAACUCUUCAUUUUUAUGAAUAAAAAUUAUAUGGUAAAAAGGAAGUGGUGUUAAUAAUAAUAAUAAAGAUCAACAAUAGAAAACUAAUAAAGCAAUUUAGUCUAUGAUCUGCAUAAUAUAUUACUACAAAUGUACCGUACAGAAUAUUGAAAGAAAACUAAUAAAGAAAUCCGAAAUUUUAACAAGGUUCCGCAAAUUAUGUUUAUGAUAUGAUGUAAAUUGAUAUGUCAAAUUUUGUGGCAAGUAAUAGAAAAUGACAAAUUCCACAUUCAUACAUAUAAAGGAAGCAAGAUCAAGUCAAUAUACUUUGUAAUCUCAUCACUUCUUCUUCUUUCUUUAGGGAGUUCAAAUGAAAUACAAAAUUUUGGUAAAUCAACUCUUCAUUUUUAUGAAUAAAAAUUAUAUGGUAAAAGGAAGUCUUGUUAAUAAUAAUAAUAAGAUUAACAAUAGAAAACUAAUAAAACAAUUUAUCCAAAUAUCAAAAUAAAUAUUAACUUUUUCAGAAACCAAAAUUAUUUUCUAAAAAUUAUUUUUUAAAAACUAUUUUUAGUGAAACAAACUGAGUCUUAGCCCAUAUUGUAAAUUAUUUUGUGGGUCUGGAAUUCUUGUACAUUAUGCUGCAAAAGAGUGAAAUUUCCUUACAGCUAGUCGAUCAAGUUUGGUUGAAAUUGAAUGCAUUGAUGUGAAAUUGAGGGAGCCUAAACAAUGUUGAUGCGAGUUUAGGUAAAAUUAGUGGAUCCCAUCUCCUUAGUAAUUUCUUUAAGGAAGUAUCUGCUUUCACACUGUGUUGACAACUUCCCACAGAUCAAAGGCCUGCAGGUAAGUCUUCAUAUUUACCAGCCAUAUGUGAAAACCUUCUCCAUUGAAGACUGGUGGGACUGCUGGUGAAAAUCCUGAAGAAGCCAUCAGGUUUCUUGAUUUGAAGCAACAGGUCCACUAAGAAAAGGGCUCUAGAUACCAAUUGUUGGUGUAAAAGGGCAGAAGCAAACUGAUUUAAGCUUGCUUAUACAGCAAGCCUCGAGCCUUGUAGAAGAAACAAUCUCAGCAGAAAGCAAAAAUGAAGCUUGCAGUUGGAAAAACAAGAAAACAAGGAGAGAAUUUGAAUGAAAAACAAGCUGAGUUGUUCAUUAACAUUACAACAAGGCAUAUUGCCAUUACAUAUAUCAGUUAACUUGUCAAAUAAACAAGUAAUCACCUAAUCAAUUACCUAACACCACUAAUAUGCAUUGAAACUUACAAAAUUAGCUUGCAAACAUUACAUUGCUGAUAUUUCAGUCAAUCAACAUCAAAAUUACACCAAAACAUUCACCUGCUUAGUUCAAUGUGAACUAGAUUACAAAAUGAUUAAAAUACAACUAAAACAACAAGUGGUUCAGUAACUUGAAGCUUCAGCUGCUGCACACCAUGGCUCGAUUGCCUGCUGCCAUUUCUUCUUGCAUGGCCACCUUUGCAUGGGAACUAAACUCAACAUACACGAACUAAUGCAAAUAUGCUAGUGGUUUAUUUUCCACCUAUCUGAUUUUUUAAAAUGUUCUUCAGUUACACCAGUUGAUGCAAUCUAUUAUUACCUGCCUCGUUGCAAAAAGGUUAGGAAAUAAAUUCACCGACAAUCAUUGGGAACUAAGAAACUUCGCAGCAAAGCUAGUGGCAUCAAUAUGCAAAAGGUGAAGAUUCUUUUCUUUUGGACUUAUACAUGCAUAUUCGUUUUUAUGAAUUUCAGGUGUCUGAGUUUUUAGUUAUAAACUUGGAUCUAUUCUUCAAAUCAUGUGUAUAUCAUUUUUAUGCUAUUUCACACUUGCAAAACAAAUGGUGCGAGCGUGCAUGUUAUAUGCAGAAUACAUAGAUUAAUUACAUGUGGAUCAUUAAGCAUGCCUAUGUUUGACGAUUGUGUGUGGCUACCUUUUUUUACAUGAUCCAAUUUUCGAUAUGCUUUGCUUUUAGGUUGAAUGCGGAAAAGAUUAGAACUUAAUUUCCAGCAUAAUGAUUUGUCUUGGAUAUGCAGAUUUUACAUGCAUUUCUUACAAGUCAAUAUUUUAUAGAUUUGGGCAUGUUUAUCACAAUCUUCAGCCACGUGUGACAAGGACACUGCUCCACGCUUUUUUGGACCCAACGAAAACAUUUCCCCAGUAUUACGGAGCAAUUCAAGGGUUAGCAGCCCUUGGACCCAGUGUGGUAUAAUUCUAAUCUCAAAUAUUUACUAGCAACACAAUAAGAUACUUGUUUGUGGGAUCAAUUGGUCAAAGAUAUUGCAAUGAUAGCCAUCUUUUUAAGCCCAUUUCUUUCAGAAAACUGUUUUGUCACUCUUUUCUGCAAGAUCCGAAGAAAGAAAGAACAUGGAAAUCUUUAGUCCAAAAGUGUAAAUAUGCGGUUUCUCUAUAGCUAUCUUGAUUAUGGCAUCUGUAAAGUUUGUCUUUCAUAUGUUUGGCUAACGCUUCUUCAUCCAUAUGUAGGUUCGUUUACUUAUACUACCAAACCUUGAAGCGUAUUUGCAGCUUCAUGAACCUGAAAUAAAAAGACACGAGGCCUGGUGUUUUUAUGGGGCCCUGCUGGUAAGUUUAACAUCAAAUUUGGUACCAGUUUACGAGCAUCAUUUCAUUUAUUUGCUAUAGAACUAACAACACUGCAUAAAAUUUCCACUAAAAGCGUGCAGCUGGACUGUGCAUGUAUGAUCGGCUUAAAAUGUUCCCCAGUUUGCUAGCACCCCCAACUCGGCCCGUCUGGAAAAGCAACAACAAAGUUGCGACAAGUAUGAUUUCUUCGAACCAUCAUAUUUACACUUAAUCCACAGGUCUCUUCUCCCCCUUUACGAUUUUCCUUUUUCUGAUCAAUCAAGAUAAACGAAAAGCAAGCACGGACGCCUUGAUGCAGCAGCAACCACCUGCGAAGAAAAUAGCAACUGAGAGUGCAAUAGGUAUGAUGCCAAUAAAUUCCAUGCAAACUGAUUUACAAGGGGCAGUUAGCAGCUUUUCUACCACCGUAGGAGGUUCCAAUAUCGGUGUAUCAUCAAUGUCACGGCCGUUAUCAAACGAUAACAUGCUAGGAAGGGAGGUUGGGGGUCGAGUUUCAAGGACAUCAACCGUUCUAGCUCAGGCUUGGAAGGAAGACACAGACCCAGGGAACUUGUUAGCAUCAUUAUUUGAACUUUUUGGUGAAAGUAUGUAAUUAAAAUAAUAUAUUGGCUUAACCCUCCUAAAUUAUGUAUUUUUUUCCAUCUUGGGACCUAAAUUUUUUUGGGGUCAUAAGUGGUACCUAAACUACAUUUUUUCUCCUUCAAAUUAGUAUCUUCAUUAAUUAAACCGUUAAGUCUAUUUAAAAAAGAAAGACUCGAACAACAAAUUAAUACCUAAACAGUGCUCUUUUUCUCAAGGUACCUAAUUUUUAUUUUGGCCAUAAGUACUACUAAAACUAUUCUUCCGUUACUCAUUUUACACCAAAAUGUUAUAUCGGCUGAAAAGAUUCCAACAAAUAAUAGAUUGUAUGUUAUAUAAACUUUUAAAAAUAAUUAUUAUUUAAUUAAUUUUUUAUAUUUUUCUUUCUUAUUCCUUUCUAAUGUUUGGCAAUGCUGAUAAUGUUUGAAAUUGUCCCACUUGAGGUCAAAAUACUGGUGAUUAAUUUUGGUUUUGAAUUUCACCACCUACUUCUUUGACCUAAGGGGAUAGAAAAUGUUCUUUUAUCGAUCAAAACUAGUAUUUUCAAAAACAGAUUGAUUCAACUGGUUGGAUAGGAAAUCGGUCUGGAAAUAAGGGUUGAAUCGAUUGACUUGCGACCAAAAACAAAUCAGUUGAACUAAGUUAAAAAAACUGGUUGAACUAGUUCUCUCCAUUUAUAUAUAUAUAAAUAAUAAUAGUCUUUUUUUGUACUAUAUGUCAAUUUUUAAUUGGUUAAUUUUUUUUUUCAUAUAAACUGAACGGUUUGACUAAUGACGGAGGUACCAAAUUAUAGUCUAGGUACCAAUUCAUGGGUUAAGCCUAUUUCUACAAUAGACUUUUGACUAAUGGCGGUAGUAACUUGGGAAAAAAAAAGUAGUUUAUGUACCACUUGUGACAAAAAAUAAGUUUAGGUACUAUCAUGGGAAAAUGAGUAUAAUUUAGAUACUAAUUUAUGAGUUAAGCCUAAUAUAUUUGCCACAUCAUUUUUUGAAAAUAACAGAACUUAAUAAAUUUAACGGUUAUUAUUUGAUGAUGACUAAAAUUUUUAAAUUUGAAAAGUACAUGAACUAAAAAUGACCAAAUUAAAGUAUAAAGAUUAAGUCCACAACUUUUGCAAAGUACAAGGACUAAUAGCAGAAAUUAACCUAAAUUUCAUAUGGGUCAAUUACAAUAAUAAUCACUAAACUAUUCCUUUGGUUCUAUUCUAGUCACUCAACUAUAGAGCUGCUCAUGAGCCGGGCCAGGUUAGGCCUAAGCAUGAUAUUAACGUACUUUAUGCUUGCUCAAGCUUGGCUCGGCCCGAAAUAUGAGCUUAAAAUUUCGCCUAAACUCAUCAAUAUUUGCAAAAGACUAACCCAAGCUCAUUUUAGGCAUGCCCAUAUAAUUUUUAGUUUUUUUUUUUUAAAUAUUUAUAUUAUAUUAUUUUAAGAAUUAAUAAUUUGAACUAUAGUAUUAUUAUAUAUUUAGUAUAAGUUUAUUUUUUAAUCUGUUCUAAAUUAUAUAAUAUAAAAUAUUAUACACUUAAAAACGGGCCGGGCUGGGCUCGAGCUUUAAAUGUUCAAGUCUUAACCCGGCCCAUAUUUUAAACGGGCUUAAUUUUUUUACCAAAACCCAAUUUUCGGGCCUAAUUUUUUUACUCAGACCCUCCCAAAUUUUGGGCUGCCCUUGGGCUUUGGCAAGUAGCCCAACUCAUGAACAAGUUUACUCAACUAUUAAUUUUUUCGAUUUAGUUGUUAACCUUUUCGAAAGUAAAUAUUUUAGUCAUUCUCCUAUUAGUUGUUGUUAAACGAGUGACGGAAAGCUGAUGUGGGCUUUUUUUAUUAGUCUAAUAACAAAUUUAGCCCUCCAAUGUUUACACAUUCUAUCAAUUUGAUCCUAGAUAUAAAAAAAUCAACAAAUUUAGCCCUGAAUGUUAACAAAACUUGUCAUUUUAGUUCAAAUUCUAAAAAAUUUAAUAAAUUUAACCCUUAAUAUUUUCAAAAAUUAGCAAUUUAGUUCUAAUUCUAAAAAUUUUAAUAUAUAUAUUUAAAAAAAUAUUUUUAAUCAUCUGUCUCACCCUUUGAUUUUUUAGAUGAGCUAAAAUCAAAAUGAGAUAAAAAAAAAUAAAAAGUUAAAAUGACUUUUCGUUUGUAAAGUUAAAAAAUGCUAAAUAAAUCAUUAUGUCUUUUUAGUUUUAAUUUUUUACUUGAUUAAAAGAGAAAUAAUUAACAAAUGAAAAAUAAUUAUUUCUAUAUAAAUUUAUCAAAAUUUAUAACAAAUGAUAUUUUAGAUUUGAAUUAUCAGACUAUAUAUAUAUAAGUAUACACAUUUUUAUGAAAUAAAAGAUUUUGCUAAAAGAAAAAGCAUCCAAUUUUAAGAAUGAAAAAUAUAUGGUAAAAGCAUCCAUAACUUUUCAAUGUUAAAGACAAAAAAGACUGUAACACCAAUGUUGUGGUAUUAUUUGUUGCCUAUAAAUACCAUUCCUAUCCUUCUUCUUCCUCUACCAACAUAACAUGGCCUCCUAUCUCUUUCUCUCCCUAUUCCUCUUCUUUCUCCAUCUUUAUGCUUCUUUUUCUUCUUCAGGAUCUCACUCCUGCUCUUCACUAAUCCAGUUUAAGGACUCCUUUUCCAUAAGAGAGGAUGCUUCUUUUGAUCAUUGCGAUUAUUUUGCUGGCCUUAAAUCUUAUCCCAAGACAAAUUCAUGGAAGGAGGGUACAGAUUGCUGCUCAUGGGAUGGGGUCACUUGUGACCACCUAAAUGCUCAUGUUAUUGCCCUUGACUUGAGCUGCAGUUGGCUAUAUGGCACCUUCCCUUCCAAUACCACUCUCUUCCUUCUUCCUCACCUUCAAAAACUCAACCUUGCCUACAAUGAUUUUAAUUCUUCCAAAAUUCCAUCCGAGUUCGGUCGGUUUACAAGCCUAUUCUACCUCAACCUUUCCAAUACAUGGUUUUCAGAAGUCCCAUCCCAAGUCUCCCACCUGUCAAAAUUGGUUUCACUUGAUCUUUCUGGGUUUGAUGAACUAUUAACAAUUGACAAAUAUGCUCUGGAGGGUCUUGUUCACAACCUAACCGAGGUCAGACGUCUGUUUUUGGAUGAAAUGGACAUGUCUUCAGUUAAUGCUCAUGUCUUCAUGAAUCUAUCCUCUUCUCUAAGGUCUCUCAGUCUUGUUGGUUGUGAUUUGCAAGGAAAAUUCCCAAAAAACAUUUUUGAUUUGCCAAACCUCAAUCUCCUCAACUUGGGAGGCAACCAAAACCUCAAUCUUGAUCCUUUGAAGUUCAAUCGGAGCAGCAAUCUUGAACAAUUGAUAAUUUCAGACGCAAAUAUUUGUGGAGGAUUGCCUGACUCGAUGGGGAAUCUUGUGUCCUUGAAGUUUUUAGUUCUCUCCCAUUCCAACUUAUCAGGACUGGUUCCAAGAUCACUGGGGAAUCUCUUGAAACUCACUCAUUUAGACUUGUCGGAGAACCAAUUGAGUGGACAAAUUCCAAGAAAAUUGGGGAACCUCUUGCAACUCACUCAUUUAGACUUGUCGAAGAACCAAUUGAGUGGACAAAUUCCAAGAUCAUUAGGGAACCUCUUGCAACUCACUCAUUUAGACUUGUGGCUGAACCAAUUGAGUGGACAGAUUCCAAGAUCAUUGGGGAACCUCUUGCAACUCACUGUUUUAGACUUGGGAUGGAACAAAUUGAGUGGACAAAUUCCAUUGUCAAUUCUAAACCUAACGCAGCUGGAAUACUUGACAAUAUCUAACAAUUCUUUAGAAGGUUCCAUUCCAGAUGAGGUAACCGCUUUUCAUAAUCUAAUAUAUUUAGACUUAUCUGACAAUUUACUCAAUGGAACACUGCCGUCAUGGUUGUAUACUGCUCCCUCCUUAAAGACAAUAUAUCUCUCUCAAAAUCAAUUCAGUGGGCAUAUCAAAGAAUUCCAAUCCAAAUCACUAGAAUGGAUAUGGUUAGAGAAUAAUAAACUCCAAGGUCCUCUUCCAUCUUCAAUAUUCCAACUUCUCAAUCUUACCCAACUUAGCUUAUCCUCAAAUUAUCUUAGUGGUGUCAUAGAGUUUCGCAUGUUCUCAAACCUUCCAAAUCUCGAAUAUCUUGACCUUUCAUAUAACAGCCUAUCCUUAACAUCUAAUACAACUUCUACUGUUAAUCUUACAAGCUUAUUUUUGUCAUCUUGCAAUCUUAGUGAAUUCCCCCAAUUUUUAAAAGGGCUUAAAAGUUUGGAAAGCUUAGACCUCUCUUGCAACAAAAUUGAAGGCAAGAUUCCACAGUGGAUGCGAGAGGUGGGGAAUGGCUCUUUGACUCACUUAAAUGUAUCUCACAACACUUUGACAGAAGUUGAGCACUUUCCAUGGAAGAAUAUUGAUGUUCUUGACUUAAGCUCCAAUUUGAUCAGUGGAAAUCUUCCGAUUCCAGCUUCGACCAUAAGAGUCUUUUUGAUCUCAAAUAAUAGUUUCAAUGGAGAGGUCUCUUCUUUAAUAUGCAAUGCCGCUUUUCUUGAAAUUCUUGAUUUGUCCCACAAUAACUUGAGUGGAACAAUUCCACAAUGUUUUGGAAAUUUGAGCAACAGCCUUCUAUUCUUGAAUCUGAAGAAGAACAAGUUUUAUGGGACGAUUCCUCCAGCAUUUGCAAAGGGAUGCCGAUUGAGUAAUUUCAACUUAAAUGGAAAUCUGUUAGAAGGGCCUUUGACACCAUCCAUGAUCCAUCCUUAAUUGUAAUGGUCUGGAAGUGCUAGAUCUUGGUAACAACAAGAUCAAUGAUACAUUUCCUCAUUGGUUGGGAAGUCUUCCACAGCUACAAGUUCUUGUAUUGAAGUCAAAUCAACUGCAUGGUUCCUUAUGUGUCAAUAGCUCCAAGUCUAUCCCUUUUUUCUCUAAAAUCCAAAUUUUUGAUCUCUCAAGUAAUUAUUUUUCUGGACCCCUACCAGUGAGAUACAUCAACAGCUUCAAGGCUAUCAUAAAUCUAGAGAAGAUUGGGAGUACAAUGUCGUACAUGGGGGUGUAUGCUCAGAGAGGUAGUGCCUUCUAUACCCAUUCCAUUGGAAUUGUUAUGAAAGGACAAGAUAGGGAAUUGGUGAAAAUUUUCACCAUGUGGAUGAUCAUUGAUCUAUCAAACAAUCAGUUUCAAGGGGGUAUUCCAAAGGUUAUUGUGAAGCUUAACUUGCUGAAAGGGCUCAACCUUUCUCAUAAUAACCUUAAUGGUGGUAUCCCCACCUCAAUAGGGAAUUUGACAAGUCUUGAAUGGUUAGACCUAUCUUCAAACAGUUUGUCUGGGACGAUUCCAAAUAGAUUGGCAGAUCUGCCAUUUCUUUCGUCCUUCAAUGUUUCUGAAAAUCAACUCCAUUGUCAGAUUCCUCAAGGCAAACAGUUCAACACAUUUGGAAAUGAUUCAUAUGAAGGAAACAAGGGAUUAUGUGGAUUUCCGGUCUCAAAAGGUUGCAACAUCAUUGAGCCAGCACCUCUAAAUGUGCUUGAAAAAGAUGGCUCAAAAUCAAACAUUACUUUUGGUUGGAAAGUGGUGUUGAUAGGUUAUGGAUGCGGAGUGGUGUUCGGAAUGUCCGUGGGAUAUGUUGUUUUCCAAACUGGUAAGCCGAAAUGGUUGGUGAAUUUGGUUGAAAUCCAACAUGAGAAGAAGCGAAGAAGAAAGUCAAAGGAUGGCAGUCGCAGCAAUGGAUGAAGAAGGAUCUAGUUAGUGGAAAUGAUGUUCAAGUGUUGAUGUUGUAUCUUCAUAAUUUCUUGUUUUGAAGUCUUUCAAUUUUUUUCCUAUGGUGAAAGGUUGCAUUGCCAUGCAUCUGUCUUUACUUUUGUAACAAUUCAUCUGUCAUAAUAUUAUAGAUUUUAUUGAUUUUAAUUUUUUCUCUAAUUUUUAAUAAAAAUAGGGGCAUAAUUGCUUUUUUUUUUUAAGUUUGAGAGUAUUUUUUAUGCAUUUUGAAAGUUCAAGUACCAAAUUGAGUGCAAAAAAAAAAAGAGUAGGGGCUUAAUUACUUUUUUUGAAAAUGUUUGAGAGCUUUUUUGAUGUAUCAAAUGAAAUACAAAUUUUGAGUAAAUCAACUAUUCAUUUUUAUGAAUAAAAAUUAUAUGGUAAAAAGGAAGUAGUGUUAAUAAUAAUAAAAAAGAUCAACAAUAGAAAACUAAUAAAGCAAUUUAGCCUAUGAUCUGCGCAAUAUAUUACUACAAAUGUACUGUACAAAAUAUUGAAGAAAACUAAUAAAGAAAUCUGAAAUUUUAACAAGUUCCGCAAAUAAUGUUUAUGAUUUGCUGUAAAUUGAUAUGUCAAAUUAGGCUCUCCAUCACACUUAAAAGUUUAUUUUCGAGCAAUUUAGAUAUCUUUGUUGCGUUUUUAUUUUGUUUUAGUUGUUUAUAUUAAUAAAUGAUUAGUGUGCAUUUUGAUGCUAUUUUAAGACCUGAGAUGGCCAAAUGGCACCCGGGGAAUCUAAUGAGGUUGGUGAGUGAUGCAGAGAGCCCAUGGUGGCCCGGAAGGAACGAAAAUGUUACCUAGAAAGAGGGUAUCGCAUUUCAAAGCAUGAAAGUCGUAAUACCCAUAACAAUGUUAAAAACAAGGAAGAUUGAGCCAUCAACAAUGUUAUCGUGAUACCGGUCAUAAGAUAUCGCGAUACCCAAAACUUCCAAGGAUCCCCCAAGACUGUUGUGGAUAUCGCGAUACCAAACUUUGGGUAUCGCAAUAUCAUUGAUGAGAGGAGACAAAAUAUAACUGUAGGGGUAAUCCUUUUCCAACAUGUGGAAUGGCCAUGGGAUGUGUUGUUUUCCAAACCGGUAAGGCGAAAAGGUUCGUGAAUUUGGCUGAAGACCAACAUGAGAAGAGGCGAAGAAGAAAGCCAAAAUAUAGCAAUCGCAUCAAUGGAUGAAGAAGGAUCUAGUUGGUUCAAAUGAAGUUAAAGCAUUUGUGCUGUGUCUUCAUAAUUUCUUGUUUAGUAGUCUGUCAGAAAGUUUUUCCUAUGGUGAAAAGUUGCAUUGCUAUGUGUCUGUUUUUAUGAUUGUACCAAUUCCUCUGUAUUUCAUUGCAUUUCGUACUAUUUGUAAGGGUUUAGUUCAGUGUAACAUCUUGUAUGGUGCAACUAUGUAUGUCUUCUUUCUUGAAUUUCAACUUUUAGUAAACAUUAUACUGCUCACCAUAAAAAAAAUACAUGUAGAAUUACAAAAGAUUCAAUUAUUCAAGUUUGAGUUGCAUUUAUAAACAUGUGAUGAUGAGAAUUCAUGAACAAAAGGUAUGGUUUGAGCCCUUUUGCAAUAUGCGUUUAUGUUGCAUUUACCUAUAUAUCUAUCGACAAAUUUAAGAGUAAUAUUUACAAUAGCAUUGCAGAGUAACAUAUUUACGAUUGGAUUACACAGUCAAAAGAUUGCAGCAACGAUGAGAUUAAUCCAAUUACAGGAAUUGAUAUCCUAAAUGGCUUUUAGGUACGUAGCUUCAUUGACGGUACAAACUAGUUAAAAUUUCCAGAAUUCAUGUCUUUGUUUUCCCUCAAGUAAACGUAGUCAAUACUGCAAAUGGUGUGGAAGUAUUGUACAUUGUGGCCCAAAUGUCCAAAAUUUCCACAUUGCUUGUAAAUUAAGUGAUGAAAACCAAAACUGUUUGAGGCAUCCAAUUACCCACAGAGAUAGGAAGUAAGGACGCAUGUAUAAUUAUUAUCAUUAAUUAAAGCAUAUAUAAUUACAUUAAAUAUAGGAUAAACUAUAAAAAUAAUCACUUUUAUUUACCUCAUAUUACAUUUUAGUCACUUAUGUUUGAAAUGUUACAUUUUGGUCACUUACGUUAUCGUUUUGGUACGAAGUGGUCACUCUACCGUUAAGCUCCGUUACCUCCCUAACGGCGAUUCUACGUGAUAGUCCAAAUGAGUUUUAAAUGCCAACUUAAAUGUCUUGCGUGGCUGUCUAAAUUAAAUUUAUUUAAUUAAAAACUUAUUUUCAUCUCAACAACCGGACAUUCAAGUUCGCAUUUAAAACCCAUUUAGACUGCCACGUAGGACUGCCGAUAGGGAGGUAACAGAGUUUGAUAGUAGAGUAACCACUUCAUAACAAAACGAUAAUGUAAGUGGCUAAAACAUAACAUUUCAAACAUAAGUAAUUAAAAUAUAAUAUAAGGUAAACAAGCCUUAAAUAUAUAAAUUACUAUGAUUACUAUCAAGAUAGCAUUGACCUGUUCAACAGGCGGAACCAAUAGAUCUGACCAUUUGGUGACUCUAGCAGUCGAUAAGUGUGAGUGGCAGACUGUGCAACUUGUAACUAUGUUAAUUGAUGAAAAGCUUUUUGAUAGAAGAUAAUAAACUAGUGGCAAUGGCAAACGGUUCCAAGACGAGGUGGGACACCGAGGCUUUGUGUAACAGGGGAAUAGAUGCACUCAAUGCUGGCGGCUGUUGACUUGUAUUUCUCUCUAACAAUUUAAAUCACCAGCUUGCUUCAUCCAUCUAUAAAUAAGGGUCUUCUUCAGUUUCAUAAAUGCAUAGAAAAUUAACAAGCUCAAAUUCCUUCUUUUCAUAUUCAUCUCUUUUACUUUGAAUUGCAACUUUAUCCUGCCUAAAUUCCUCAACCAUGAACCACCCAUCAGGACAGCCUCAAAAUGAACUUCCUUGGUCCGCCGGAUUCUGCGAUUGUUGCUCUGACCUGAAAACUUGUAACCCUUUCUUCUUUCUUCAAUAUCAGUUCUGUC